rnacentral:lncRNA from 1 species
GGAGACGUCUGGGGAAUUAGUGGCCACGUGAUACUGAUGGUUUCCAAGACAGAUGGAGGGUAUGCCUGCCUCUGAGCUUCUUAGAACAUCUCAUUCUCGUUGGCCCUGUUGGGAUCAAUACUAUUGCAACUGUACUCAUCAUGCCUAAGCCAGGUUUGGAACUGAGCAGAAAAGGCCACUGAACAAAAGGAAGAGUACCUCACCGUCUUACAUGACCCCUCCAUCACCUUUGUUUGAAAGGGAAGUCUAGCUAGAGGGCCAGUGGGGCAGACAGAUUUCCGGCUCUGCCACAUAUUUCCAACAUUACUUACUGCCAUGACUUAUCAUCUGCAACUUGACAUGUUCUACACAUAUGGGCAUGUUGUACACAUUAAGACAUGCUUCCUGCAUUAGGAGAUUUUCCCGGAUCGAGGAUAUUUUCCUGGUGCAGAAUUGGAGACUGAAUUGAUUGACCUCAACAUCUAUGGGUCUAGAGUAGGAGGUUGGGAAAGUUUUCUUCCCUUUAGGGGUCUGCCCCUGUUCUAAGGAACAGCAGGAUUUAUAAUGAGGGCUCAGUCUGACCCAGGACAUGCUGCAAGGAGAGCCUGCCAUCCCUGCAGUGGCUGGUUGUUGACUCCCUGAUUGGCCCGGGCCUUAAGCCUGCCUUCUCCUUCCCUUCCCACAUGGGCAGAGGCUGUGGGCUGUAGCUGACGGCUCACCUGGAACGCCUCCGGUUGCUGAAGGGCUGGAUGGAGACUCUGAGACAACCUGAUGGAUCAUCUCAUAAACAGAGCCUGCAGGAAGGAAAAGAAAAUUAUGCCAGCAGAAUGCACUUAUGAGAAAUAGAUAUGUGCGGUGCAGGGAGAAAUGCUUUGAUAUUAAAAUUUUUGUAACUUAAAAAGGCAUGAAAAAUGAUACCAACCACUAACUAAUCAACAUUCCUUUGCGAAUGCAGCUUCAGUUCCUAACCAAAAACACAUCCCUGCUAUUGUCUUGUCUGGAUCCAGAUGCAAACAUGAUUAAUUAAGUUUCGGGCGAGGAGUGGGAGGGGGAUGGUCAGGAGGGACGGCUUGCUGAGGAUCAUUUUUAUGCACAAGCCCUAGGAGAAGCCCCAAGGCUGAGUGCCUUGCCCCAUGUGGCAGGGCUUGCCUUUUGUGCACCGACAGCCGCAAGGGUGCCAUGAGAAGGCGGCACCCAGUCCUACAGGGUCUCCUUAGGGCCAGAGAAGUUCUGCGGGCAGUGAGAAGCUCUUGGUCGGAUCCAUGCCACUGCCCAGCACUGAAAUGUCUUGUAGGAUGGCCUGGGCUCCACUUCUCACACUUCACCAAGUAGUUUGGGACCAUGAGCAAGUUGCCUUGGUUUCUGCAUUUGUGAAAUGAAGGGCCAGAUCAAAUAUUCCUUAAAGUCUCUUCCUUUUCUGGCAUUAUAUCUGGUGCUUGAGGUCCCUCACUCAUAGCAGGUGUUUAUUAGCAAAAAGUCUAUUUAGGCAAAAAAGUCUGCUGAUGGGAGGGCUGAGAAGUGUCUUUGAUGGGUGUCUCUGGUGUAGAUGGCCGGGCUGCAGAGACUCAGGCUGUCUGGCAGAGGCCAGCAGACUUGCUUUCUGAUCACUACUCUACCACACAGAGCCUAGUAACAGUGAGUGAGACACCUGAUUGCCCUGCAUCUCAGCCUCCCCAUUAGAAAACGGAAACACCAGUCCCAACUUUCACUGGGAUAUCUAUGAAGCAGAGUGAAGCUAGCUGGUCUGAGAGGACAGUGACAUGGUGCACAGUCUCUAUGUACCUUCUCCAGGAGCCUGCUCCCCAUGGCAGCUAUAGGUCGAUAUACACUGUAAUUAAGUGAUUAAGGAGGUGAGAUCUAGAAUGAGAUUGUCUACAUCUAGGCAACCUUCCCCCGAAUCUUAACCAUUAGGCAAAUUAUAAACCUCCUUUGGGCCACAUUGACCUCAUCUAUAAAAGUGGGCUGACCAGCAGAGCACACAUUCCCUGCAUGGUGAGCAGGAGCAGGCUUGUGAAUGAGGGAAGGCAGUUUUAUAAGGCCUGCUGGCCCUGGAGGUGGUGCUGCUGCCAAGUGUAACACCAAAAACUCAUCAGACUUUAAGGCCCUAGUGUGGAGAUCUCAGCCAGAGCCAAGGCUAGCGUUUAGUGAGCUAUUUUAUUGGGAGUUUUAUUGCCUCCUUCCAAGGCCAACUGAUUCCACUAGUAUUUACCCCUUGUUGAUGUUAGCUGGGAAUGAUCAAUUUUUUAGAUUACUAGCCACACCCUGUCAAACAUUAGAAUGACAAAUUGCCCAAUUCAAGUUCUACAAUUCUUCUCAAUUACAGGGGAGGGAAGAUGGCUUUCACAUGUGUGUGAUUUUGUCCCUGGGAGCAUCUAUGAAAUAUGCAGCAUUCUCUUACCUAGAUGAGAACUCACCUUCAAAAUAUCAUCUCUAAUCUAUCUUCAUGUUUUCAAGUGGGAGUUUUUUAUUCCCAUUUCCCAGAUGGAAUAACUGAGAGCAGAGGCUGGAGAGAGCUUGCUCAGGGACCCAGAAGCACAGGAGUUGAUGGUGGGGCUGAAGAUGAAUUCUAAUUUCCUGCUUCACAAUCCCUUGUAACCCAGGAAUGACCUUUCUGGGGAAUAUUAGAAACACGAAUAUAUGAAAUGGAGAAGUUAGAUUGCAGUCCCCUGGACCAUGUCCAGGACACUAAAAUGAGUGUCCUGCUCCUAUUAAAUGUAUUCUAAAAAUUAUUUGCUAUUCUGAAUGUAAUUUGAAGUGAAGUAGGUCUUCCAUGGAGGCUCCAAGAGGAUCCCAGCCCCAUGCACAAUGACUCUCAGUUGAUAUCAAGAAAGUUUUAAUCCCUGCCAUGUGCAGGGGUAGAAGUUUUAUAAAAGAACUGAGAUGAGAAGAAAUUUCACUUAGAGAAACAGCAUGAGGAUGGCUACAGAGAUAACAUUUCAGCUCCUAAUCUGAGUAUGAACCAGCCCUGCAUGUGUGCCCCACACUUCAGCUGAUCUCUCAGGAAACCUAAAAGCUGCAGUGCUACCUGCAGCAGCUGCCGGGGCCUCCUAUCCUCAUCCUAGAGCUGCUCCUACUCCUCUCCAAUUUCAAAUAAGCUCCUCGUUUCAGGAUGCUUCUCCUUCCCUGGGACCUGGCACUGGUAUUUGUGGUGUUGUUUCCCUACUUUUUUUCCUAAAGGCAUUGGGUAUAGACUUUACCCCUGGCACAUACAUGCUUUCUCUCUCUCUCUCUUUCCCUCUCUUUCUCUCUCUCAGGAAUCUGUGUCUUCAUUUCCCUCUUUCAUGACCAUGCGCCAGCACUGAGACCCUUGCCUGGGUGCCCAGAACUUGGACUUGAGGGAUGUAAGGGGCAGGAGAGGGACUCCCAGGCUCUAGAGUGCAGAGUUCUGAUAUGAGAGUGACUUUCUUUUGGACUCAAGAGACUUUGUAGAACUGGCUCCAGACCUCAAGCUGAGCUCUUGAUUAUCUCCCAGACUCAAGGUCUCACUAGUCCUUGAGUAUCUCUGAGAUCCCCAGUGUUUCCCUGGGGGUAACUGUGCUCCCACUUUGUCCAGGUCUGUGUCUGCAGAGGCGUAGAGGCUCCCAGCCCCUGGGAGAAUCCCGUUCCCUCUCACCAGCCACUGCCUGAAGUGUAGAUGCUUAAUUUCUCUGGGGCUGCAUUUUGAGGGUGGUAAAUCAGAAAUACUUUCCACACGUGGGCAUACUGAGAAUUAAGCCAUGUGCUAAAGACUUUCCCACACUUUCUUUAAAGAUCACACAAAACUUGUGAGUUAGGUACAUUUCCUACUUUACGAAUGAGAAAACUGGGUGGCUCAGGGAGGUUAUGGAAAAACACAACUCAUGUAACUACUAAGUGAUGGGAUGACAACUGAAAGACUAGCAUGAAAGCCCAAGUGGGUCUGACCUAGGAGUUACAUAUCAUUCAGAAAUAAGAAUGAUGUUGUUGCUGUUUUCAAAGAAUUUGUAACUUACCAGAGAGGAUAAGAGAACUGGUUGGAUA